UUGAAGGUUCGAGUUUGUCAGAACAACCAAAGGUCAGGUCCACCACUACACCCAGAUGUCAGGCUGUAAUAUCAGAAGCUGUUUAGGGGAAGACAAGUGUUGAACCGAUGUGAGAGUUGACCUGCUGCUUCCAGAUCUCUGCUGAAAAGCUCCGGCUCAGACGACCAACGAUGUUGUUGCCAUGAGGACAGCGACCCUGUGAUGUCACUCAGUUUUCCUCGAGGACGAUGAAAAAGUUCUACAACGUCUCUGAGAUGUUUUGCUGUUCUGUUUGUCACAGGUUGUGGAAAAAAAAUCUAAACUUUCAUCUCAAUCUUUUUUUUUUAAAUGUGUAGUUUUCUUAUUUUCCUCAGGAUUCAGAUGCCAUGACAGACGUCAUCCAGGUUCAUGUGGGGUUGUUGACUGUUAUGUUAUGCUAAGUAUAUCAUUUUGUUAAAGUAAAAUGUUGAAUCUUGUGAACUUAAAAUCUUUUGUUGUGGUUUCUUAAUUUAUUCAGGGCAAUCCGUUUCCUAGAUUCUGCUAAGUAAACUGUACUGUUCAAGUAAGUUGGACUAACUUGAUGUAUUUGAGUUAAGAAGAGAAUAAUUUACUUGCUAUUUUCUAAGUUGAAACAAUUUCACUUAACUAAGUUAAAUUAACUUGACACAAUUAAGUUCUUAGGUACACUGAACAAGUAUAUGUCAAGUAAUCAAAACUUACUUACUUACAUUUUUAAAGGCAGUCGGUUUCCAAGAUUUUUUUUUAAAGUAACGUCAACUUUUCA